rfam:Pteropus alecto contig54351, whole genome shotgun sequence.
GUGCUCGCUUUGGCAGCACAUAUACUAAAAUAGGAACAAUACAGAAAUUAGCAUGGCCCCUGCACAAGGACGAUACGCACAUUUGUGAAGCAUUCCAUAAUUUU